rnacentral:rRNA from 1 species
AUUGAACGCUGGCGGCAGGCCUAACACAUGCAAGUCGAGCGGAGCGGCGGACGGGUGAGUAAUGCCUAGGAAUCUGCCUGGUAGUGGGGGAUAACGUCCGGAAACGGCGCCUAAUACGGAAUCCUAUAGAUUGAGCCUGGGUCGGUUUAGCUAGUUGGUGGGGUAAAGGCCUACCAAGGCGACGAUCCGUAACUGGUCUGAGAGGAUGAUCAGUCACACUGGAACUGAGACACGGUCCAGACUCCUACGGGAGGCAGCAGUGGGGAAUAUUGGACAAUGGGCGAAAGCCUGAUCCAGCCAUGCCGCGUGUGUGAAGAAGGUCUUCGGAUUGUAAAGCACUUUAAGUUGGGAGGCGUUACCAACAGAAUAAGCACCGGCUAACUUCGUGCCAGCAGCCGCGGUAAUAC